rnacentral:rRNA from 1 species
UACGUAGGGUGCGAGCGUUGUCCGGAAUUACUGGGCGUAAAGAGUGUGUAGGCGGUGUUCCCAGUCUGUUGUGAAAUCUCCCGGCUUAACUGGGAGGGUGCAGCGGAAACUAGAAUGCUAGAGGGUGGGAGAGGUAAGCGGAAUUCCUGGUGUAGCGGUGAAAUGCGUAGAUAUCAGGAGGAACACCUGUGGUGUAGACAGCUUACUGGACCACUUCUGACGCUGAGACACGAAAGCGUGGGUAGCAAACAGG